rnacentral:siRNA from 1 species
GAAGAAGGAAGGCUACACUCACUC